CAUGUUUUUGCUUUCUUUUCUUUCUUUUUUCUUUCUGCAUCUUUCACGCCUCUUUCACUCUGCCUCACAUCCUUCUUCAACGCCAUAAUCAGCCCCCCUCUCUUUGCCAUCUCGUUGUAUGAUCAGCACCAGCUUUUCUUCGAAGCAAGUCAUUAGAGCAGAACCGAGCUUAUUGGAGAUUCUCAGUUUCACUCCUCAAUUUGGUUUGUCGAAGAUUCCACGAAACAAAAGCAGGGCUUCAGUAUAUCAAAUUGCCUGAUGCCAAUAAGUUGUUGAGCAAAAUAGGGAUUGCAGUUGCUGGGUUUGCGGAAGACUUAGGAUACAUCGAGUUUGAUGCACAUUGAAGGUGAGAGAAGAGAUGUCGCUGAAGGGAGAAGUUGCGUUGCCAGAGAGUUGGACAAAGAGGUGGUUGCGGAGUCUUGGCAGGGAAGAUGUUGCAAGGAAGAUGAAUCAGUUGGUAAUGAUAUUAGCUAUAGGCUUAAAAGGAGUUGUAGUGUUAUUGCUAGGAACAAGAGUGCACGAUAAUCAUAUAGGCAUAACAUUCACAACAGCUUGCGACCAACUUCUAGAAGCAAAUCAGAAAGGAUGUAGGCUGUCCGCUGAAAAGCGUUCUGUGAAACUGUCUCGCCAACUCUUUACUUGUUGAAGUUAAUUUAAAGCUUGAGUCUGUUAUAUUCA